GUAGAUCUCUGCCCUGCCUUGCCCAUGAGGCGGUUGGGAAGACGUAUUAUUGCUUAGGCUUGUUAGGUCAUUAGGGGGAGCAGCAGCAGCAGUAAAAGUCGUAUCCUGUUCAUCGCACAUGAGAGCUAACGUUCCCGGAGAUAUUGGCCUUUCUGCUGAUACAUCAGCACCAUCCAGUCUAGAUUCAUCCCCCCUGAUACUCUCAGCCUGGAUUCCUGUUGAACAAUCAUCAGGCACAACCUUCCCAACACCUGAGGAGGGAUAAGAAGCUUUUCUGUGGUGCUUGGCCUGUUUUAAUGAAGCAUCUUUUUCAUCUGAAAGUAUCUUGGCCGCUUCCUGUGCAUAAACAAUUAAAACAGAACAAAGCUCCUUGAUGUCAUGGUUCUGGAUUAUGUCUGCUAAUAGAGACCUGUAGGUAGGCUUUGGAGGACCUAAUGCUGCUGCAUUACUAACACGAGUACUAGGAAUGGAAGACAACAAAGAUGGUGGAACUGAAGCUUUAAUCUGGUUUUCCUGUUGAAACUGACCAAGCCUAUGAACAGGGUCUUUAAUCAUUGACCCAGAGAACAGCUCCUGAGGCUUUCUAU
rnacentral:misc_RNA from 1 species